GACGAACGCUGGCGGCGUGCUUAACACAUGCAAGUCGAACGGAAAGGCCCUGCUUUUGUGGGGUGCUCGAGUGGCGAACGGGUGAGUAACACGUGAGUAACCUGCCCUUGACUUUGGGAUAACUUCAGGAAACUGGGGCUACUACCGGAUAGGAGCUCCCGCUGCAUGGUGGGGGUUGGAAAGUUUCGGCGGUUGGGGAUGGACUCGCGGCUUAUCAGCUUGUUGGUGGGGUAGUGGCUUACCCAGGCUUUGACGGGUCGCCGGCCUGGGAGGGUGACCGGCCACAUUGGGACUGAGAUACGGCCCAGACUCCUACGGGAGGCAGCAGUGGGGAAUAUUGCACAAUGAGCGGAAGCCUGAUGCAGCAACGCCGCGUGCGGGAUGACGGCCUUCGGGGUGUGAACCGCUUUCGCCUGUGACGAAGCGUGAGUGACGGUAAUGGGUAAAGAAGCACCGGCUAACUACGUG
rnacentral:rRNA from 1 species